rnacentral:rRNA from 1 species
CCAUCCAUGUUACGGCAUGGGUGGGGUUGUAGGACUACGCCGUUGCAUGAAGACAUCAGAGAAGAACUUUCUGGAAAGAAAGACCAUAGAGCAUGACAGUUGCGUAUUCGAAUGUUGUCGAAGCAUAGUAGUAUCCUGAGUAGCGCGGAGCACGAGGAAUUCUGCGUGAAUCUGCCGGGACCAUCCGGUAAGGCUAAAUACUCCCGAGAGACCGAUAGCGAACCAGUACCGUGAGGGAAAGGUGAAAAGCACUUCGAACAGAAGAGUGAAAUAGUUCCUGAAACCGUGCGCCUACAAGCGGUCGGAGCUCGUUAAUGAGUGACGGCGUGCCUUUUGCAUAAUGAACCUACGAGUUGCCUUUGCCGGCAAGGUUAAGUGUGACGACACACGUAUCCGAAGCGAAAGCGAGUCUGAACAGGGCGUAUAGUCGGCAGUGGCAGACGCGAAACCAAGUGAUCUACCCUUGGCCAGGUUGAAGGCUGGGUAACACCAGCUGGAGGACCGCACCAAUAAGCGUUGAAAAGCUUCUGGAUGAGCUGAGGGUAGGGGUGAAAGGCUAAUCAAACUUGGAGAUAGCUCGUACUCCCCGAAAUGCAUUUAGGUGCAGCCUUGCGGGUUACUGAUGUGAGGUAGAGCGACUGAUAAGAUGCGAGGGCUUCACCGCCUAUCAAGUCUUGACAAACUCCGAAUGCGCAUCAGUUCUACCGCAGGAGUGAGGGCAUGGGUGCUAAGGUCCGUGCCCGAGAGGAGAAGAAUCCGGACCACCUGCUAAGGUCCCGAAAUGACAGCUAAGUUAAACUAACGAAGUCUGACUGCUAAGACAGCUAGGAUGUUGGCUUGGAAGCAGCCAUUCAUUUAAAGAGUGCGUAACAGCUCACUAGUCGAGGAGUCGGGCGUGGAUAAUAAUCGGGUAUGAAGUUGUCUUCCGAAGCAGUGGGAUCAUUUAUAUGAUCGGUAGGGGAGCAUUCCAGUCGGCGUCGAAGGCGUACCGUGAGGUAUUCUGGAGCGUCUGGAAAAGCAAAUGUAGGUAUAAGUAACGAUAAAGGGGGCGGGAAACCCCCUCGCCGAAAGACUAAGGUUUCCUGAUCAACGCUAAUCGGAUCAGGGUCAGUCGGGUCCUAAGGCUCAGCCGAACGGCGAUGCCGAUGGCAGAAACGGUUAAUAUUCCGUUACUACCUUCAGGAGUGACGUGGAGACGCAGUAGUGACAGUGCCGCCAUCUGACGGAAUAGAUGGUUGAAGGGUGUAGGAGUCGAUCAUGGCAGGCAAAUCCACCAUGAGAUCCGAACCUGAUAGUAUGCCGCGUCCUUCGGGACAAGGCAAUAGUGCGCGUAAGCAUGCUGCCGAGAAAAUCCGCUAAACUUAAUCCUGCAGGUACCCGUACCGCAAACGGACACACGUAGUCGGGAUGAAUAUUCUAAGGCGCUUGAGUGAUUCACGGUUAAGGAACUAGGCAAACUGACCCUGUAACUUCGGGAUAAAGGGUCCCUACCCUUUUAUGGGAGGGCGCAGAGAAUCGGUCCAGGCAACUGUUUAACAAAAACACAGGGCUGUGCCAAAUCGAAAGAUCCAGUAUACAGCCUGACACCUGCCCGGUGCUGGAAGGUUAAGAGGAGAUGUCAUCGAUAAGAGAAGCGUUGAAUUGAAGCCCCAGUAAACGGCGGCCGUAACUAUAACGGUCCUAAGGGAGCGAAAUUCCUUGUCGGGUAAGUUCCGACCUGCACGAAUGGUGUAAUGAUCCGGACGCUGUCUCAACCGUGAGCUCAGUGAAAUUGUAGUAUCGGUGAAGAUGCCGAUUACCCGCGAUGGGACGAAAAGACCCCGUGAACCUUUACUAUAGCUUAUCAUUGAAUCUGGGCACGUGAUGUGUAGGAUAGGUCGGAGGCUUUGAAGCAGGUACGCCAGUAUUUGUGGAGCCGCUGUUGAAAUACGACCCUUUAUUUGUUUGGAUUCUAACCCGUGGAACGGGGACAUUGAUUGGUGGGUAGUUUGACUGGGGUGGUCGCCUCCAAAAGCGUAACGGAGGCUUCUAAAGGUGCCCUCCGGCCGAUUGGUAACCGGCCUUAGAGUGUAAUGGCAUAAGGGCGCUUGACUGGGAGACUAACAAGUCGAUCAGGUAGGAAACUAGAGCAUAGUGAUCCGGUG